UUGAACCCUGGAAGUUGCCAGACACUUGUUAACCCAACCGCCAGAGGUCUGUGAGCUCCAACAAUGUCGAACAAACACCUACUUACUUCUCUCUCCUCCGUUCUCCGACGAACCCUAACUCCGACGUCUCAUUUCUCAUUCAAUUCCACCAGGUGGUUUCAAUCCGGCACUUUCUUCUCACCCAAUGUAAAAACACACCACCGCCUUUUCCCGUGUAGCGGAUUGGAUUUUCUCGAGAUUCACAAAAUUCCCGGAAAAUGUUUUACCUCCUCCCAAUCAGCGGAGAAAGCCAGCGCCAAGUGCUGGAACUGUAGUGCCGCGGCUGAAGCGGUGCCGUUUCUGUUUUGUUCAUCUUGUCGGUGCAUUCAACCUGUGGAUCAGUCGGUGGAUUACUUUCAGAUAUUUGGACUGGAGAGAAAGUAUGACAGUGUGGUGGACAAUCUGGAGGGAAAGUAUAAAGACUGGCAGAAAAAAUUGCACCCUGAUCUUGUUCAUACAAAAUCAAAGGAGGAAAGAGAGUAUGCUGCUGAACAGUCUGCUAGGGUGAUUGAUGCAUACCUCACACUUAGCAAGCCCUUGGCGAGGGCAAUCUACAUUUUGAAGCUUGAAGGUGUGGAUGUUGAUGAAGAAGAGACACUUUCGGAAUCAGAGUUGUUAACUGAGAUUCUGGAAAUCAGGGAAGCUGUUGAAGAAGCUGCUGACUCUCAGGCUUUAGUUCAGAUUCAGUCUCAGAUGCAAGAGAAACUGAAGCACUGGUCUAACUCUUUUGCAAAUGCAUUUCGAAGCCGGAACUUUGAUGAAGCUCUAAAAGCUAUCCGGAGAAUGACUUACUAUGAGCGUGUAAAAGAAACUAUUGUAAAGAAGCUGUAGUCAAGGCUCUUUAGUUCUGAAAUUGGUAUGGUUCUGGAGCAAACCAAAUAUAAUUCCAUGAUUGACAAGUAGAAGAUUUGAUGGCAACAUCCAGAUUUUGAUUGAAGACCUGGUUGAGAUUUGCCCGGCAUCCUUCCGAGACAAAUUAAAUGUCAGAAAAUACAAAGAUUGGGCUGACAUUUGGUCCAGCUGCAAGUACUUUUUUCAUCGUACUACUCUGUAACCUCUUAUAAUGGUUUAGAGAUAGCUCUUAAUAAUACGAAUGCUUGUUGGAUGUAUUGUCCAUGCACAAGCUGUACCUGGCAAGCACUCUCUUGCAGAAUAAGUGUUCUAUUUAUCUUGUUAUAAAAUGAAAAGAUUGUUCCAAA